UACGUAGGGGGGCUAGCGUUGCUCGGAAUCACUGGGCGUAAAGCGCACGUAGGCGGACUCUUAAGUCGGUGGUGAAAUCCUGGAGCUCAACUCCAGAACUGCCUUCGAUACUGAGAGUCUCGAGUCCGGGAGAGGUGAGUGGAACUGCGAGUGUAGAGGUGAAAUUCGUAGAUAUUCGUCAAGAACACCAGUGGCGAAGGCGGCUCACUGGCCCGGUACUGACGCUGAGGUGCGAAAGCGUGGGGAGCAAACAGG
rnacentral:rRNA from 1 species